ACACCCGUUCCCAUGCCGAACACGAAGGUUAAGCUUCAAAGCGCUGAUGGUACUGCAGGGGAGACCCUGUGGGAGAGUAGGUCAUUGCCAGAU
rnacentral:rRNA from 1 species